AUGUAGGAUAAUCUGUCUUUAAUUAGGGAUAAAUUAAUCUAAAUAAAAUAAAUCCUGAACAGUUUUUCUUUCAAGUCUCUCUUUUUUU
rnacentral:pre_miRNA from 1 species